AGCGAACGCUGGCGGCAUGCCUAACACAUGCAAGUCGCACGGGGGGGCUUCGGCCUCCCAGUGGCGGACGGGUGAGGAACGCGUAGGGACCUGUCGAGGGGUGGGGGAUAACCGCGGGAAACUGCGGCUAAUACCGCAUGACGCCGCGGCGUGACAGCCGGGGCCAAAGGCGAAAGCCGCCCGCCGAGGGGCCUGCGUCCGAUUAGCUGGUUGGCGGAGUAGCGGCCCACCAAGGCGUCGAUCGGUAGCUGGUCUGAGAGGGUGAUCAGCCACACCGGGACUGAGACACGGCCCGGACUCCUACGGGAGGCAGCAGUGGGGAAUAUUGGACAAUGGGCGCAAGCCUGAUCCAGCAAUGCCGCGUGGGUGAAGAAGGUCUUCGGAUUGUAAAGCCCUUUCGGCGGGGACGAUGGUGACGGUACCCGCAGAAGAAGCCCCGGCUAACUUCGUG
rnacentral:rRNA from 1 species